AGGGGGAGGGUAGGGAGGGGGGGCACAUUCUACUUUGAGCCACUGUAUCUUGAAAGUCAUAUGUGACGGGGACAGAGUUCGCCACACGCUUUGUUUUCGCAGCUUAGUUCACAUUAAUGUGAGACGCAGCUUGAAGAUCGAUGCGCUCACUGCUGCUGUAGCGCUUCCUCAUUCCAGCAUUUCGACAGCGAGUUUCCGCGGCUGCAGCAACAAUACUGGAGCAUGCGAAAGCCUUCUCAACGAAUGAAAAGUCCUCGAGUGUGAGUGCCGUGGUGUGGAGAAGAAACCAGCUACGACCACAACUGAAAUCACUCUCUUCGUGUGAAUGGGACAGCCGGAGCAAAUCUCGCAGGCCAUGGUGAAACCUACCUUUUUACUAUAGUGGGGAUAGAUGGUGCCACUGUUUUGUCACAAGAAAAUCAACAUUUAAUGAGUUAUGCAAGUGUCGGGCAAUACAGCAACGAACAAAAGACAUUACUGGACCGUCCCCUUUAAAUGCGAUAGACAUCUUCACGGCUUUACUGAAGCCCCGUGAAACCUUUUGAAUGUGUCAGUACCAUACUACAACCUUGCUGAACCAGGAAUCAUCUUACAAGAUCACUUCCGAGAUUUCCAAGCCAUGUGUCCAGCACCCAUAUUGCUGGCACCCAACUCUUGUGCUGUUUGCUAGAACAUGGCUACUGGCAGCCCAAGUUGUGCCAAUGCAAGUCCCAGUUGUAGAUGAGCACUUAGGGUGAUAACCUUUACAAUGCUUGUUGCCACUGCUCGUACAGUUUGGUGCAAUCAAAGAAGUGGUGGCAACACAUGGCAAAAGCUUUUCAUGCUCUAGCAAUGACAUGCAGGCUGGGAAGGUGGCUCCACCACAAUGGGCCACUGGCCUCCGUGCAUUUUUAUCAUGACAGAGCAGGCAUACUGAAAAUAAUUUUAUAUGCAAUUUAGUUUUCUACCCUUGCAAAAAAUUCUAUAGGAUGUGUAUCGUAUCAUGAGAAGCCAACUAACAAAAACACCAAGGACAACAUAGGGGAAAUUACUUGUAUUUACUAACUGAAUUAAAGAAAUUAUAAAUUAACGGCAAUGAAAGUGGAUGAAAAAACAACUUGCUAAAGGUGGGGAACAAUCCCACGUCUUCGCAUUGCAUGUGCGAUGCUAUAGGAUAUGUAGCAUUUCUCAGAGCUGCAUAGAGGGGGUCAUUCCAUAUAGCUUCUUACAAUUUUAAUAAACUGAAUGGGACAAA